UGUUUGAUGUUCUAACGUGGACCCGUAAUCCGGGUUGCGGACAGUGUCUGGUGGGUAGUUUGACUGGGGCGGUCUCCUCCUAAAGAGUAACGGAGGAGCACGAAGGUUGGCUAAUCCUGGUCGGACAUCAGGAGGUUAGUGCAAUGGCAUAAGCCAGCUUGACUGCGAGCGUGACGGCGCGAGCAGGUGCGAAAGCAGGUCAUAGUGAUCCGGUGGUUCUGAAUGGAAGGGCCAUCGCUCAACGGAUAAAAGGUACUCCGGGGAUAACAGGCUGAUACCGCCCAAGAGUUCAUAUCGACGGCGGUGUUUGGCACCUCGAUGUCGGCUCAUCACAUCCUGGGGCUGAAGUAGGUCCCAAGGGUAUGGCUGUUCGCCAUUUAAAGUGGUACGCGAGCUGGGUUUAGAACGUCGUGAGACAGUUCGGUCCCUAUCUGCCGUGGGCGCUGGAGAACUGAGGGGGGCUGCUCCUAGUACGAGAGGACCGGAGUGGACGCAUCACUGGUGUUCGGGUUGUCAUGCCAAUGGCACUGCCCGGUAGCUAAAUGCGGAAGAGAUAAGUGCUGAAAGCAUCUAAGCACGAAACUUGCCCCGAGAUGAGUUCUCCCUGAGACUACGAGUCUCCUGAAGGAACGUUGAAGACGACGACGUUGAUAGGCCGGGUGUGUAAGCGCAGCGAUGCGUUGAGCUAACCGGUACUAAUGAACCGUGAGG
rnacentral:rRNA from 1 species